ACUUAGAGUUAGAGGAACCUAACCGCCCGUCUAAAAUGGGUAGCUUCAGCUUUCUUGGUUGAGUGAAUUUCAAAACUAGGGCCUUUUUAAGGUAGGGCGUACUGCGCAUUGUCCUAUUCGGCCCUUUGUUCUCGUUCUAAAAUUUCUAUUUCAAGCUUUCACUCGACAAAUGGCGAAUGAGCAACAGCUUUUGCGGCCAUGGUUCCUCGACUUGGUGCCAUACAUGGUCGUUUUAUUAAUUGCUGCUCAUGUCCUCGCUUUGGUUUACUGGAUUUAUAGAUUAGCUACUGAAAGACAGCCUCAGCGACGAAAGGCUCACUAAACCUACACUUCAAUAUAGAGAAAGGAAGUUCUUUCAUCCAAUCCUGAGUAUGAUUCUAUCUAGAGAGGGUUUUUACAACACUGUAACAGGCUGCAAUUCUCUUCUGUGGAGCUAAGUUCUCUUUGUAUCAGAUUGUGCUACUUAUUCCUUGUCUGUACAUUGUUUCUUUGGAGGAUCUUGCUUUGACUUCAUGUAUACUCACUUGAAUUGCUCACUUAUCAUUGCUGUUAUACAUAAAAACAGGCAGAAUGGUCCAAGUGUUAUCUUUGGUCUUUCUGUUGUUUACCCAAGACAUGCAUGCACUUGUGCACAUGUAUAACUUUUCGUAGUUCUAUAUAGUAAUCACAUGAUUUAAUGGGACUAGGUUUGGAGAUCAUAUGAAUUGAGCUGGUUUACUUGAUUUUCCAGUUUAAAGUAAUUAUCAGAGAUAAUUGUAAACAUUUAUUCUACUUGUGCACUGAAAUUGUUUUUAAUCUGUUGACAUGCUUAGUGUUAU